UACGGAGGAUGCAAGCGUUAUCCGGAAUGAUUGGGCGUAAAGCGUCCGCAGGUGGCAUUUUAAGUCUGAGGUCAAAGCUCGAGGCUCAACCUCGAACAGGCCGUGGAAACUGAAAAGCUAGAGUGUGGUAGAGGCAAAGGGAAUUCCCAGUGUAGCGGUGAAAUGCGUAGAGAUUGGGAAGAACACCAGUGGCGAAAGCGCUCUUCUGGGCCAAGACUGACACUGAGGGACGAAAGCUAGGGGAGCGAAUGGG
rnacentral:rRNA from 1 species